rnacentral:rRNA from 1 species
UACGUAGGGACCAAGCGUUGUUCGGAUUUACUGGGCGUAAAGGGCGCGUAGGCGGCAAUUCAAGUCAUCUGUGAAAUCUCCGGGCUUAACUCGGAACGGUCAGAUGAUACUGCUUUGCUCGAGUGCGGAAGGGGCAAUCGGAAUUCUUGGUGUAGCGGUGAAAUGCGUAGAUAUCAAGAGGAACACCUGAGGUGAAGACGGGUUGCUGGGCCGACACUGACGCUGAAGCGCGAAAGCCAGGGGAGCGAACGGG